GUCGCUGCCCCAUGCCGAGACGCUGCUCUUCUCUCUCGCUCCUGCCGGCGCCUCCAUGCUUCCUCCGCGCACCUUCUCUUCUACUCCCACUCGCCGGCGCCGCCGCUUAUUGUCCUUCCCUCCCGUCGCAUGCGGCAGCGAGAGGGCGAGGUCAAAGGCCGGAUUUUUUGCCGCUGGUCACAGAUCCGUGGGUGGCGUUGCUUGAUCUGCUCCCCGACGGCACCUACACGCUACGUAUCGCCCUGGAGGCGGCGCAAAUGUCCAGGCUGCAGGUGGAGGUGAACGGGGCGACGAGAAAGGGGUCUGAGGGAGUCUUCAACACGCCCAAGUUCGGCAACGGCAGCGCCAUCGCGCUGCACGGCGACCACGGCAUGUGGUGAAGCUUCGAGUUCCCCAUCAAGUGGUACCUGCUCAUGGAAGGGGAGAACACGAUCAGCAUCACGCAGAUCAGGGCCUUCUAGUUGUUGUAUCUUUUCGAUAUCUGCAGCAACACGGCUCAAUACUUACAGGCUCAUAUGGAUUAUUUGUCUUCUCAGUAAGCUGCAAAGAGGUGCUAUUAUAGAGCUGUUGUGCAGAGAGGUGGUGCUGACGGGACAAGCCCUUCAAGAAUGAUAGCGGAAAUUUAGAAUUUUUGCUAUUCUUUUUCUUGACUUGUCCAAGCUGUAAUGACAGCAAAAAUUCAUGAAGUGUGCAUUGACAUGAAGCCACCCAGGUUGUUUAUGAUAUAAGGCUGUGAAGAUUUGGCUAAUGGAGAUAAAAGAGCAACAGGAUGCUCUGCCAAAGCUAAUCAUGCCCUCCUUGGAUAUGACUUCAAGAAGGUCGAACUGUCGAAGCACUUGACAGGUUGACUAAAAUCAAGAUCUGGAAGCACCAUUUUUCUUGUGGCGCGACAGGUUCGCGGCUCAACAACCUUGGGAACAGGCGGAACUGCCAGCGAGCUGAGACAGAGCUUGCCAAGGAGAUGAGACAGUGCUGCUGGCGAGAAGACGAUGUUGCCGGCGAGCUGUGCCGGAGCGGCCAGCGAGAAGCCUGGAAGUGCCCCGAGCGUGGAGGUGCUAGCUAUGGUCCUGGGCGUUGCCGGCGGUAUGGUGCUCUGCUCGGUGGGUGCUGAGCAUGCGUGGCGGCCGGCAUGGCGCUUCUGUUGGGGGCUUACGGCCGGCCUCCGUGAGGUUUGCCGAUGGAUUCCGGCGGCGGCGCGCAGAUGGAUUGGAUUCAGCUGGCUUGACGCUCGCUUGGAUCGAUUCGGUUCUGCUGGUUUGAGGCGCGUCCGUCAGAUGGAUUCAGUUCAGCUGGCUUGAGGCUCGCGCGCGGAUGGAUCCUGCAGGUGACGGAGGUGAUGGCUGGGGCGUUGGGGGCGGAGCCGCGGAGGACGAGGACGCUGGGAUCUGGAUCGAGAUCCAUGAAGACGAAGCUCGGAUCGGGAACAAUGUUAGACAGGGGUAGAGAUGUCUUUUCGCACGUUUUCACCUGGUCGGAAAAAUCCCAGAACGUCUUAUAUUUUUGAACGGAGGGAGUAUAAAAAAAUAGUCCGGUGGCGAACCUCUGACCAGCAGACCAGUUCCGAUCGAGACGAUUCGUUUCUCUCACAUGGCUGCAUGGCAGUACGACACCGCGCCGGUACGUGCAUGCUUCUAGAAUCUAUGCGAACAUUUGAACAGAGUAUUUG